UUCCAAUUACCAGACUCGAAGAGCCCGGUAUUGUUAUUUAUUGUCACUACCUCCCCGUGUCAGGAUUGGGUAAUUUGCGCGCCUGUUGCCUUCCUUGGAUGCGGUAGCCGUUUCCGAUU